AACACAUGCAAGUCGAACGAGGUUAUUACCGGAAGUCUCGGAUGGAAAGUGGAUAACCGAGUGGCGGACGGGUGAGUAACGCGUGAGCAACCUGUCUUCUACAGGGGGAUAACACUCCGAAAGGAGCGCUAAUACCGCAUAAGACCACGGUUUCGCAUGGGACUGAGGUCAAAGGAGGAAUCCGGUAGAAGGUGGGCUCGCGUCCCAUUAGAUAGUUGGUGAGGUAACGGCUCACCAAGUCGACGAUGGGUAGCCGACCUGAGAGGGUGAUCGGCCACAUUGGAACUGAGAUACGGUCCAGACUCCUACGGGAGGCAGCAGUGGGGAAUAUUGGGCAAUGGGCGAAAGCCCUGACCCAGCAACGCCGCGUGAGGGAAGAAGGUCUUCGGGUUGUAAACCUCUGUCCUUGGUGAAAAGGAAGGAUGGUAGCCAAGGAGGAAGCCCCGGCUAACUACGUGCCAGCAGCUGC
rnacentral:rRNA from 1 species